UUCGGUAAUCUAUUGGUGAAGUUAACUACCGAGGGCUUUUGCCCUUCGGUAACGGCUUACGAUGCUUUUAAGUUCAAAUGAAUACUUGUUCGUCAAAUGAACCCAAAUUUCCCAAAAAGUAGAAGUGUCUCCCCCUGUCGAACUCACUCCCUGACUUAGGGUUGAAACUUUGGUGGUCGUCGGCCGGUUCAAUGCUACGGUUUGACGGUGCGAGUUUGGUGGUGUGGGCGUUGAAGGAGGUUCAUUGUUGGGUGACACUCUUCCAUUCCCUACUCUUUGUUUGAAGCAGUUCGUUGGUUUGAAGCGUGAGGUUGUCACCCUAAGGCGGUUUGAAGCGGUUGUUGUUGCGAACGCUGACGGUGGUUCGUUGGUGGUUGGUUUGCAGCUAGGAUUCGUGUUUUGCUCCUUGUGACUGUUGCGACAAGGGUAGGGGUUGUUGGGGGUCUGCGUGUCGAGGACGUUGCAGUGAAGUGGUGUUGGUUCGGGAUUGGGCCGUAAAUGUUGUUAUCGGAGAUGUCAAAGUGGAGAAGGAGGUAGAGGUUUUUGUGGAGGUUAAGGAAGUAGAGGUACACUAGUGGAGAGAGAGAAUCAAUUGGACCACGGAGGUUGAGGGAAAGGCGGGAGAGGCCCACCACUCUGCUGUUUGGGGAGCACUCGACGCCGAGCCAAACAUUUACUUUUUCUAUCUCUGACUAUUGCAUUAUAAAUUUGAUCCAGAGGAGAGAUUUGGCAAAGUGAAUUUGGCUGGCAUUGAUUACUAUAACAGUCUAAUUGACACACUUCUUUCAAGAGGAAUAAAACCUUUUAUGACAAUAUCACAGACAGUAUCACAUUAUGAUAUUCCUGAAGAACUUCAGCAAAGAUACAAAGGUUAGCUAAGUCCUGAAAUUGAAUAUGGGCAAUCUUACGAGAAAGGUUUGAAUGGAAGAAAAUUCAAGGAGGGAGAAUUGGUGUUGCCAUGAAUACCAAAUGGUUUGAACCCAUCAACAAUUCUUCAGAAGACAAGAAAGCUGCAGAAUGAGCUCAAUCAUGUUAAAUGCCUUUAUUAAGUUUUGAGAUUUGAUGCAUGCAUGACCAGAAGAAAGUGCUCAUUAUUUGGUUUGGUCACAGCUCCUACUUUUUCCAUGUUGAGGAGAAAAGAAGGGUCCUCUGCUUUAAGUCAUAAACAAGC